rnacentral:rRNA from 1 species
GAUGAACGCUGGCGGCGUGCUUAACACAUGCAAGUCGAACGGAAAGGCUCCUGCUUGCAGGGGUACUCGAGUGGCGAACGGGUGAGUAACACGUGGGUGAUCUGCCCUGCACUUCGGGAUAAGCCUGGAAACUGGGUCUAAUACCGGAUAGGACGAUGGUUUGGAUGCCAUUGUGGAAAGUUUUUUCGGUGUGGGAUGAGCUCGCGGCCUAUCAGCUUGUUGGUGGGGUAAUGGCCUACCAAGGCGUCGACGGGUAGCCGGCCUGAGAGGGUGUACGGCCACAUUGGGACUGAGAUACGGCCCAGACUCCUACGGGAGGCAGCAGUGGGGAAUAUUGCACAAUGGGCGCAAGCCUGAUGCAGCGACGCCGCGUGGGGGAUGACGGCCUUCGGGUUGUAAACUCCUUUCGCUAGGGACGAAGCGCAAGUGACGGUACCUGGAGAAGAAGCACCGGCUAACUACGUG